rnacentral:tRNA from 1 species
GCCUGGGUGGCUCAGUCGGUUGAGCGUCCGACUUCAGCUCAGGUCACGAUCUCACGGUUUGUGGGUUUGAGCCCCGCAUCAGGCU